UUUUUUUUUUUUUUUUUUUUUUUUGAGGCAGGGUCUUUACAGAGCCCUGGCUGUUCUGAAAUUCACUAUGUAGAGCAGGCUGGCCUGGAAUUCAAAGAAAUCUGCCUGCUUCUCCCUCCUGAGUGCUGGAAUUAAACACAUGCGCCACUACCACCCACAGGUUUCUUUACUAUGAAAAAGGCUGUGAAGUGGGACAUGUGUUCAGUCUUGAAAACUUGUCUAGUUUGUGGGACGUUCUAGAUUCAUUCUCUCCUCAGCACUGCAAAAGAGAAGCUUUGAUCUCUGGCAAAUGUUUGCUUUGUAAAGUGUAGUUUUUUUUAAAGACUUAUUUAUUUAUUUUAUGUAAGUAAGUACACUGUAGCUGUCUUCAGACACACCAGAAGAGGGCAUCAGAUCCCGUUACAGAUGGUUGUGAGCCACCCUGUGGUUGUUGGGAAUUGAACUCAGGACUUGUGCAAGAGCAGUCAGUGCUCUUAACCGCUGAGCCAGCUCUUCAGCCUGUAAAGUGUAUUUUUAUUUUCUGUGAACAUAUUGAGCAUGCUGCUCUCAACUCCCCAGAGACAUAACAUUAUUAGAAUGAGCUUUAGAGUAGUAAAUAGAGGGUAGGUAACUAUGUAUCAGUGCUGGGUCAGAACUGAGUACAGUUCAGGCAGUGGUAGAGAGCUUGUGGAACAUCUGUAAGACUGCGGCUUCUAUUGUGAGCACUAGCGUAGGGGGAGCUAGGUGCAAAAAAUUGAGUGUCAUGGGUGUUUGGAGGGUAUGGGAAUGGAAGAAGUUCUUGGGCUGGAGUCAAAAGGAAAGUUGAGAGGGUCUUAAGGUCUUCUUAGCACAAACCAGGUGAGAGAGACAGGGUCGGGAAGACAUUGUUUUUUUUCUGUUUAGGACAGAAAGGUCUAUAGUUUUCCUGUACUCAGCAUAGUUGUUAAAUUAUAUUCUGUUUGUUAUCUUUGGAGAAAAGCUUCCCUUUUCAUAUCACAGUAAAAUAUAUAUACAGUAUGACUGGCACUGAAAUCAAGAAGCAGAAUAUUAGCUGUGCCAUAGGAACUUUACCCCUAGUUAAUUUUCUCAUUUUGUUUUUAAAAGUUUCAGAAGGGGCGUCUCACUAUGUAGCCCUGGUUGACUUGAAACGUACUGUGUAGACCUGGUGGGGUGUUUGUCGUUGUUUUGUGACAGGGUCUCUGUAUUUAGUCUUGGCUGGCUGUGUAGACUAGGGUGGCUUCGAACUCACAGAUUCUCUUACCUCUAUUUACCAAGUGCUGGGGAUUAAAAGGCCUGCACCAUGUCCUGCUCUGCUUGUUGGUUUUCAGCUUACUGCUUACUUAACUCUGGGAUAAAAGAUAGAUGACACUCUCUAUGCUCUACCUUUUCUGAGUUCAUAGAGCAGAUUAGUAUGCUUGAAUAGAAGAGUAGACAUGAGUUUAUACUCCAAGUUUGAAGGUUUAUGAAAAAUGCCCUUAAAUUUUUAAAAUUUUUGUCUGCAUAGGUCAGAGGACAUCUUCAGAGAGGUGAUUCCACUGUAGGCUCCAGGAUUCAUGAGGCUUGCAGACCAGUUUUACCUGCUAAACUAUUUCAGAGGGCUCUUAAAAUCUUUAAAAACAGAAGAACAAAAACCUGCCACCUGGCUUGGUGACCACGCCUUGAAUUGUAGUACUUACCAUACUGUCAGAGGCAGGAUGAUUGUAAGUUAGAGGCUAGCCUGGUGUAGAUAGCAGAUUCCAGGAUAGUCAGGGCUGCAUAAAGAGACCCUGUCUC
rnacentral:lncRNA from 1 species